CCUACGGGAGGCAGCAGUGAGGAAUAUUGGUCAAUGGACGAGAGCCUGAACCAGCCAAGUAGCGUGAAGGAUGACUGCCCUAUGGGUUGUAAACUUCUUUUAUAUGGGAAUAAAAUGUUCCACGUGUGGGAUUUUGUAUGUACCAUAUGAAUAAGGAUCGGCUAACUCCGUGCCAGCAGCCGCGGUAAUACGGAGGAUCCGAGCGUUAUCCGGAUUUAUUGGGUUUAAAGGGAGCGUAGGUGGAAUGUUAAGUCAGUUGUGAAAGUUUGCGGCUCAACCGUAAAAUUGCAGUUGAAACUGGCAGUCUUGAGUACAGUAGAGGUGGGCGGAAUUCGUGGUGUAGCGGUGAAAUGCUUAGAUAUCACGAAGAACUCCGAUUGCGAAGGCAGCUCACUGGACUGCAACUGACACUGAGGCUCGAAAGUGUGGGUAUCAAACAGGAUUAGAUACCCGUGUAGUC
rnacentral:rRNA from 1 species